rnacentral:lncRNA from 1 species
UAGGCCCUACCUUAUUUUGAAACUUGGAAGAGCCAUUUGGAUUGGACAUCAGUUAAAGACAAUGAUAUAUUAGUAAUCACAUGGUCCUGCCUUCCAGCUAGUUGACAUGAUUAAUUGCUUUAGCAUAUAUAAGUUCAAGUUCAAUAGGUCCUACACAUUUAUUUCCUAUAGGGAACAAAGGAUCUCUAAGAAUCAAAUCCAUAAAUAUUGCUGGUAGCUUAUGAGGAUAUCUAGGAAUUAACCAUACCCCAGAUGCAAACUUUGUGUCCACUGACAAUAUUAUUACAAGAUCAGAACAUAAGUAAGAUGGAAUUUAUAACAGACUAUGUGGCAUAGGAAUCUUAGAAAGAGACGUUGUAAUCUCUAAUGCUUUCAUGAUUAAUAAGAAUGCAGCCUAAGAUAAUCUUCAAAAGUGGGUGAAAGAAAUGAAGCUAAUUAACUGAAACAUGCACUAGGAAAAUUCAGCUCUUAUUCAGGUCAGGGACAAGUGGCAGGAAUGGUUUACCUUCUUUUAACUCCCCAUCGCGUGUACAUGUGCACUCCCCUUGAGCUUGCAAUUUGCUAUUCCAGAUGUUAACAAGUUCCCUUUUCACACUUGGCCUGAAGAGAGAAACAUCAGGUCGUGUUUGUUACUGACAUAUUUAAUUGAGAUAAUAUCUGAAAGAGACCUAAUAACCCUCCCAAGAAAUUGGAUAACACUACCUUUCAUCACAGAAGUAACCGUCACCACAACUUGGAGUGAAAGAUUGAUCACAUUGAUGGGAUGACUGCUGUGGAAUCUCCCAGCUGAUAUCUUCUACAGAAUGAUGCAGUCUACUAACUGCUAUAGUUUCCGCACGAAGGAAAAGAACAUUAAUUAGUUGCACAAGUUUUCUGUCAUCAUACUUCUUAACAGUUUACACUUCUAUAAUGAAACAAUAGUGAGUUUCUCAAGGUUCAAAUCCCAGAGUUAGGUACUACAAUCUGAACAUUGCUUGGUCCCUCAAGCUGUCAUUAUGUAGGAUCAACUUUCCUGAUUAAAAUAAACCAAGCCAUUUCAAUAGAUUUUGCGAAAUAUUUCCAAAUAGAGAAUACAAUAUUUUUUUACUGGCAUAAUAUGUGUCUGUCGAUGCAAAUCUCCAUUAAAUUAUGAGUCAGUCAAAACCUUAUUAUGGCUAGAAAUUUGAGUUCAUAUUCAAAAGAAUAGAUACUAUUUCUUAUGAAGAGUUGAUAAAGUGUAAUUAUCAUUUGUACCAAUUGAAUGAGGCAUGCCACUUAAGAGGACUAGAUUGUAGCUCAUUCUGAUUAACAAACCAUGAGAGUUGAGCAAAAAAAUUCUAUUGCAAUGAAUUGAUUACAUCAAUGUAUGGAAGUAAAAAGUUUCAUUACUUCAAUUUCUUUUGAAGUAGAUGUGUCCUUAGUCUACCUAGUGUUUCUUCUAACUCUCAACUGUACACAGUGGAGUUCCUGGCUUACUACAACUAUACAAAAUUGUGUAACAAAAAAUAUGGGGACAAGUUUCCUUCUCACUUCCUCAAUCGAGAUGUGAGAUCGGUGAACAAAUCCUCACUGCAGGGAAUAGUCACACCACCCAUUGGAUGGUCGAAGCCAAAUUCUUCCUCAGCUUGACUAAGCAAGUCUUGAAACAAAGGUUCACUCAAGAAUGAUAUGGGGAUCACAAAUCUCUUUUUCUGCAUCUCUCCAACAUACACAGCAAAAUGACCCUUAGGAAUAUCUCUAGUUGUGGAAGACUUCUUGAUCAUACGGAGAAUAGCCAUGAUCUCUUAGUUUUAGUAUAGAUGAGAAAAAAAGGACUGUAAGGGAACUCAAAAGCAGAGAAAGCUUUGAUGUUUGCUGAGUGUUGUGGUGGUAGAUACCUCUUUGGAUAUGUUUAUAUAGGAAAUGGCAACUCAUGCUGAUGUUGUAUUGAAUAGGAAUUUGUGGGCACCAUCAGAAGACAAUGGCACUGAGGUAUCACAUGCUCUUGCCUUCCAAGUAUUGAAAACUUUGUGGUAUUAGUUGAAGAACAAUAGGCCCUACCUUUUUUGAAACUUGGAAAGAAGCAUGAUUCAUUACAGAAUUUUUAAGAAGUGAUGAGAAGUCAUAAAAUCUCAUGAUAUGUGAUGAAGAGCCAUUUGGAUUGGGCAUCACAUGGUCAUGCCUUCCACUAGUUGACAUGAUUAAUUGGUUUAGCUCAUAUAAGAUUAAGUUCAAUAGGUCCUACAUAUAUUUUCCUAUAGGGAACAAAGGAUCUUUAAGAAUCAAAUCCAUAAAUAUUGCUGGUAGCUUAUGAUGAUUUCUAGGAAUAAAACAUACCCAGAUGCAAGCUUUGUGUCCACUUAUAUAAAAACUAUAAGAGAAAAGAAGUCAAAAAUAUGAAAGAUUGACACGGUUUGCACUGUUUAUUGACAAUAGCACAUGAAGUAUCACAUUGUCUUGUUGCUCAAUUCAUUGUCUAAUACUCCCUCCAUCUCAUUUUAUAUGAGGUAAUUUGACUCGGCACGGAGUUUGAAAGAAAGGAAGACUUUUAAAACUUGUGGUCCAAAAUAAAUGUUAGAAAUUUGUGUGGCUGUAAAUCAUUUCAUUAAGGGUAAAAUAAACAUUUUAUAGUUGAAAUGUUAUUUAAUAUAGAAAUGUGUCAUUCUUUUUGGAACUGACUAAAAAGGAAAGUAAGUCACAUAAAUUGGGACAGAUAGAGUAUAUAUGAUUUUACCCAGCAGACCCCAGUGUUUUUCAUGACAAGAUACAGAACAGACUAUCUUUAGAGAUCAAAUUGAUAAAUUUACUGCAAUAGCUGACAACUUGUAGGAUCAACUUUCCGGAUUAGAAUAGCCCUUGUUAUUUCAAUAGAUUUUGAAAAGUGUUACCAAAUAGAAAUGUUUAUUGACUAUCAACAUGUCUGUGUUUGCAAAUGUACAUUAAAAUUACGAGUCGUUCAAAACCAUAGUAUUGGCAGAAAUUGGAGUCCAUAUUCAAGAAAAGUAUAAAUAUGGAGUAUAUAUUAUUAAGAGUUAAUCAAUUUACAUCCAGUUUCUAUUGCAUUCAGUUGAACUCAGUACUUCCACAUUACUGCAGAAUGGCAGAUCUAGUACAUGUUGAGUUAUACUUCAUUGUAUGAUGGACACUACCAAGUGUAUUUGACUUAUUUGGAACCACUAAGUGUAAUUAUUACCAAUAGAAUGAGCUGUGGGACUUUAGAAGACUAGAUUCUGACUAACAAACAAUGAGAGUUGAGCAAAAAAUUUCUGUUGCAAUGAAUUGAUUACAUCAAUGUAUGGUAUAGAAUGAAACCAUGUAAGUAAGAAGUUUCAUUACUUCAAUUUCUUUUGAAGUAGAAAAAUGUGUCCUUAGUCUACCUAGUGUUUCUUCUAACUCUCAACUGUACACAGUGUCUAUCCUGGCUUACUACAACUAUACAAAAUUGUAUAAUUAAAAAAUGGGGACUGGGUUCCUUCUCACUUCCGCAAUCGAGAUGUGAGAUCGAUGAACAAAUCCUCGCUGCAGGGAAUAGUCACACCGCCCAUUGGAUGGUCGAAGCCAAAUUCUUCCUCAGAUUGACUAAGCAAGUUUUGAAAUAAAGGUUCGCUCAAGAAUGAUAUGGGGAUCACAAAUCUCUUUUUCUGCAUCUCCCCAACAUACACAGCAAAAUGACCCUUGGGAAUAUCUCUAGUUGCAGAAGACUUCUUGAUCAUACGAAGAAUAGCCAUGAUCUCUUAGUUUUAGUAUAGAUGAGAAAAAAAGAAGGAUUGUAAGGUUACUCAAAAGCAGAGAAAGCUUUGAUGUUUGCUGAGUGUUGUGGUGGUCGAUACCUCUUUAGUUAUGUUUAUAUAGGAAAUGGCAACUCAUGUUGAUGUGUGUUGAAUAGGAAUGUGUGGGUACCAGCAGAAGACAAUGGCACUGUAGUAUCACAUGCUCUUGCCUUCCAAGUAUUGAAAACUUUGUGGUGUUGGUUAAAGAACAAUAGGCCCUACCUUAUUUUGAAACUUGGAAAGAGCCAUUUGGAUUGGACAUCAGUUAAAGUCUUAAAGACAAUGAUAUAUUAGUAAUCACGUGGUCCUGCCUUCCAGCUAGUUGACAUGAUUAAUUGCUUUAGCAAUAGGUCCUCACAUAUUUUCCUAUAGGGAACAAAGGAUCUCUAAGAAUCAAAUCCAUAAAUAUUGCUGGUAGCUUAUGAGGAUAUCUAGGAAUUAACCAUACCCCAGAUGCAAACUUUGUG